rnacentral:rRNA from 1 species
AGCGAACGCUGGCGGCAGGCCUAACACAUGCAAGUCGAACGAACUCUUCGGAGUUAGUGGCGGACGGGUGAGUAACACGUGGGAACGUGCCUUUUGGUUCGGAAUAACUCAGGGAAACUUGUGCUAAUACCGAAUGUGCCCUUCGGGGGCAAGAUUUAUCGCCAUUAGAGCGGCCCGCGUCUGAUUAGCUAGUUGGUGAGGUAACGGCUCACCAAGGCGACGAUCAGUAGCUGGUCUGAGAGGAUGACCAGCCACACUGGGACUGAGACACGGCCCAGACUCCUACGGGAGGCAGCAGUGGGGAAUCUUGCGCAAUGGGCGAAAGCCUGACGCAGCCAUGCCGCGUGAAUGAUGAAGGUCUUAGGAUUGUAAAAUUCUUUCACCGGGGACGAUAAUGACGGUACCCGGAGAAGAAGCCCCGGCUAACUUCGUG